rnacentral:sRNA from 1 species
AGAGAGAGAGAGAGAGAGAGAGAGAGAGAGAUUACUCAGUAGAACUGCCUAAUUAUUGACCAUUAUUGAGAGAGAUACAGAGAGGGGGAGAGGGGGUAUACAGGUAUUUGUGUCUAUUUUGCCAGAGAACUUGAACUUGAGAAAGAGACAAAUGGGAGUGUAAGUGUCACUCUUCAAUUAAGGAAUCCAUAAUGCAGUUAAUGAGGUGUGACCACCCUAGGCUCUCUUAAUUAUUUUUGCAUAUGGCCAAUAAUAUUUCAAUUGUCAAAUUUAAAUCAUAUUCUUAUUUUCAAGAACCAAUAAUAACAGAAUAAUUAUGAUGGCUAAAGGUGCAAUGUCAAGAUUUUAUAUUAAAUAUACCACUAUCUCUUCCUCUUGUUGUCUUUUUCUCUUUUUGAUUCAAGUUAAUGGGAAUAGAAUGAGUUUAUUCACCACAAGCAAAAUUGUUUAUGGACAAUGUGGAUUGUUGACGCUCUGUCUAAAAUCCUUCACAGAGGAUAUUUAAAAAAAUCAUUUUUCAUUUUAUACUUUUUGUUGCAUCAUAUUCAUGUUUAAUAAGUAAAUUGGAUUUUUGUACUGUGCAAUCAUGGAAUGGAAAAAAGUCAGGAACCUUCUACAUGUACCGAGAUGAUAUGCAGGAAAUAAAUUCCAUGUUAAAACAUUCAAACAAUGUGAUGCCUCGUGUUCUACUCUACUUCUUUAUUAACUUCAAGUGUAAUACAUAUACAUUAAUUCUAGCUUUCAUUAUUUUCAUGCAAACAACUAAUUGAAUGUUUAUAGAACAUCACAGUAUUUAGAAUUAAGAAUCAUUUUAAUUGGUCGUCAAAGAUUAUUAAUAUCAUAACAUUACUUUUUUUAUUGUUAGUAUUGUAUUUUGAUAUAUAAGAUGUUGACUAUAAGUCGUCUUUAAUGAUUAUAAUAAAAAAAAAAUUGAAAAAAGGUG